CCANGGCGUCNACGGGUAGCCGGCCUGAGAGGGUGGACGGCCACAUUGGGACUGAGACACGGCCCAAACUCCUACGGGAGGCAGCAGUGGGGAAUAUUGCACAAUGGGCGCAAGCCUGAUGCAGCGACGCCGCGUGGGGGAUGACGGCCUUCGGGUUGUAAACUCCUUUCAACCAUGACGAAGCUUUUUGUGACGGUAGUGGUAGAAGAAGCACCGGCUAACUACGUGCCAGCAGCCGCGGUAAUACAA
rnacentral:rRNA from 1 species